rnacentral:RNase_P_RNA from 1 species
UAAGUAAACCGGGUGACUGCCCUGAUUCGUUCGGGGAGGAAAGUCCGAGCUCCACCGGGCAGGAUGCUGGAUAACGUCCAGGAGGGGCGACCCUACGGAAAGUGCCACAGAAACAUACCGUCCCGAUGAACCUCCGGGUGAAUCGGGAUAAGGGUGAAAUGGUGAGGUAAGAGCUCACCGGCAGUCGGGUGACCGGCUGGCCGGGAAAACCCCAUCCGGAGCAAGACCAAAUAGGGGAAUGGAGAGCGCCCGGCUCAGUUCCCGGGUUGGUUGCAUGACCCCGAUGGUAACAUCGGGGCUAGAUAGAUGGUCACCGUCCCGAUUGUAUCGGGAUACAGAACUCGGCUUACAGGUUUACUUAACCC